rnacentral:rRNA from 1 species
GAUGAACGCUGGCGGCGUGCCUAAUACAUGCAAGUCGAGCGAACAGACGAGGAGCUUGCUCCUCUGACGUUAGCGGCGGACGGGUGAGUAACACGUGGAUAACCUACCUAUAAGACUGGGAUAACUUCGGGAAACCGGAGCUAAUACCGGAUAAUAUAUUGAACCGCAUGGUUCAAUAGUGAAAGACGGUUUUGCUGUCACUUAUAGAUGGAUCCGCGCCGCAUUAGCUAGUUGGUAAGGUAACGGCUUACCAAGGCAACGAUGCGUAGCCGACCUGAGAGGGUGGUCGGCCACCCUGGAACUGAGACACGGUCCCGACUCCUACGGGAGGCCGCAGUAGGGAAUCUUCCGCAAUGGGCCAAAGCCUGACGGAGCAACGCCGCGUGAGUGAUGAAGGUCUUCUGAUCGUAAAACUCUGUUAUUAGGGAAGAACAAAUGUGUAAGUAACUAUGCACGUCUUGACGGUACCUAAUCAGAAAGCCACGGCUAACUACGUG